rnacentral:tRNA from 1 species
UGGUAGCAGCAUCUGACUGUUAAUCAGAGGGUCGUAGGUUCGAGUCCUACCUUCGGAGCCA